GGCUCAGGAUGAACGCUAGCGACAGGCCUAACACAUGCAAGUCAGGGGCAGCACAAGGAGCAAUCUGAGGUGGCGACCGGCGCACGGGUGGGUAACACGUAUGCAACCUGCCUGUAAGCGGGGAAUAACCCGUUGAAAGACGGACUAAUACCGCAUAAUACUAAAUUACUGCAUGGUAAUUUAUUUAAACAUUUAUGGCUUACAGAUGGGCAUGCGCAUGAUUAGCUAGUUGGAGAGGUAACGGCUCCCCAAGGCAACGAUCAUUAGGGGUUCUGAGAGGAAGGUCCCCCACACUGGUACUGAGACACGGACCAGACUCCUACGGGAGGCAGCAGUGAGGAAUAUUGGUCAAUGGACGAGAGUCUGAACCAGCCAAGUCGCGUGCAGGAAGAAUGUCCCUAUGGAUUGUAAACUGCUUUUGCAGGGGAAUAAAGUGCAUCACGUGUGAUGUUUUGUAUGUACUCUGCGAAUAAGGAUCGGCUAACUCCGUGCCAGCAGCCGC
rnacentral:rRNA from 1 species